rnacentral:rRNA from 1 species
AUUGAACGCUGGCGGCAGGCCUAACACAUGCAAGUCGAGCGGAUGAAGGGAGCUUGCUCCUGGAUUCAGCGGCGGACGGGUGAGUAAUGCCUAGGAAUCUGCCUGGUAGUGGGGGAUAACGUCCGGAAACGGGCGCUAAUACCGCAUACGUCCUGAGGGAGAAAGUGGGGGAUCUUCGGACCUCACGCUAUCAGAUGAGCCUAGGUCGGAUUAGCUAGUUGGUGGGGUAACGGCCUACCAAGGCGACGAUCCGUAACUGGUCUGAGAGGAUGAUCAGUCACACUGGAACUGAGACACGGUCCAGACUCCUACGGGAGGCAGCAGUGGGGAAUAUUGGACAAUGGGCGAAAGCCUAAUCCAGCCAUGCCGCGUGUGUGAAGAAGGUCUUCGGAUUGUAAAGCACUUUAAGUUGGGAGGAAGGGCAGUAAGUUAAUACCUUGCUGUUUUGACGGUACCAACAGAAUAAGCACCGGCUAACUUCGUG